rnacentral:rRNA from 1 species
AGGGCACCACCAGGAGUGGAGCCAGCGGCUUAAUUUGACUCAACACGGGAAAACUCACCCGGCCCGGACACCGUAAGGAUUGACAGACUGAGAGCUCUUUCUUAAUUCGGUGGGUGGUGGUGCAUGGCCGUUCUUAGUUGGAGGAGCGAUUUGUCUGGUUAAUUCCUAUAACGAACGAGACUCUGGCCUAUUAAAUAGACGGUAUAUUUAAAAGUAUAUCGCACUUCUUAGAGGGACAAGCGGCGUCUAGCCGCAUGAAAUAGAGCAAUAGCAGGUCUGUGAUGCCCUUAGAUGUCCGGGGCUGCACGCGCGCUACACUGAAAGAAUCAGUGGGCGUUAUUCCCAGUCCGGAAGGACCGGGUAACCCAAGUAAAUUCUUUCGUGCUUGGGAUAGGGAAUUGCGAUUAUUUCCCUUAAACGAGGAAUUCCCAGUAAAUGCGGGUCAUAAGCUCGCGUUGAUUACGUCCCUGCCCUUUGUACACACCGCCCGUCGCUACUACCGAUUGGAUGACUUAGUGA